rnacentral:lncRNA from 1 species
AAGAUGAGAACCAUAUAAUAAAAACCUGCAAAAACAAAAUAAAUUAGUGAGAAGACAUGAAAUAACUAUUAAUUGAUAUAAAGUUUCGUGUUUAAAGAUUAAAUAGAUUAGAGAGAGGUUGACGAGUUUUAGAAUGAGAAACAUUACAUUUUUUGCAGUUAUUUGAGAGGAAUAGAGCAAAUGUGUAAAUUUUCUUUAUAAAGGGAGA